rnacentral:rRNA from 1 species
CCUGGUUGAUCCUGCCAGUAGUCAUAUGCUUGUCUCAAAGAUUAAGCCAUGCAUGUGUAAGUACAGGCCGACUUAAGGCGAAACCGCGGACGGCUCAUUAAAUCAGAUAUAACUCAUUGGAUCUCUGCUGAACCGCAUUACUUGGAUAACUGUGGUAAUUCUAGAGCUAAUACAUGCCUUUGUAGUCUCCGACCGCGAGGGAGGAGCGCUUUUAUUAGACCAAAACCCUCGGCAGCCGGUUCCCGCAAGGGGCCGGCCGCACACAUCUUGGUGAAUCAGAAUAACUUUUGCCGAGCGCACGACCCCUCCCGUAACCCGGGUUGGGUCGGCGCCGCGUCCUGCAGGCGUCUGCCUUAUCAGCUCUCGAUUGUAGGUUAAACGCCUACAAUGGCUAUCACGGGUAACGGGGAAUCAGGGUUCGAUUCCGGAGAGGGAGCCUGAGAAACGGCUACCACAUCUAAGGAAGGCAGCAGGCGCGCAAAUUACCCACUCCCGGCACGGGGAGGUAGUGACGAAAAAUACUGUUGCGAGCCCCGAACGGGGCCUCGCAAUUGGAAUGAGUACACUUUAAAUCCUUGUACGAGGAUCGAGUGGAGGGCAAGUCUGGUGCCAGCCGCCGCGGUAAUUCCAGCUCCACUAGCGUAUAUUAAAGUUGUUGCGGUUGAAACGCUCGUAGUUUGACUUCUGCUCCGGCGCACAUGGGGUUUUUAUGCCCUUAACCGGGUGUCCCCUUGUGGCCGGCACGUUUACUUUGAAAAAAUUAGAGUGCUCAGAGCAGGCUGGUUUUUGCUUACAGCCCGAAUGGUCGUGCAUGGAAUGAUGGAACAGGACCUCGGUUCUAUUUUGUCGGUUUUUCGGAACCCGAGGUAAUGAUUAAUAGAAGCAGACGGGGGCAUUCGUACUGCGACGCUAGAGGUGAAAUUCUUAGACCGUCGCAUGACGACCUACUGCGAAAGCAUCUGCCAAGGAUGUUUUCAUUGAUCAAGAACGAAAGUUAGAGGUUCGAAGGCGAUCAGAUACCGCCCUAGUUCUAACCUUAAACGAUGCUGACUAGCGAUCCGCCGCAGUUAUUCCCAUGACCCGGCGGGUAGCUUCCGGGAAACCAAAGUCUUUGAGUUCCGGGGGAAGUAUGGUUGCAAAGCUGAAACUUAAAGGAAUUGACGGAAGGGCACCACCAGGAGUGGAGCCUGCGGCUCAAUUUGACUCAACACGGGGAAACUCACCAGGCCAGGACACCGGAAGGAUUGACAGAAUGAAGGCUCUUUCUCGAUUCGGUGGGUGGUGGUGCAUGGCCGUUCUUAGUUGGUGGAGUGAUCUGUCUGGUUAAUUCCGAUAACGAACGAGACUCUAGCCUGCUAAAUAGUCGACGGAUCUCAACCCCGUUGCCCCCGUUGUCGUUCGCGGCGAUGCGGGGCGCGGGUUCCCCGAAACCCGGUCGUCGUGCGGGCCUCCACCGUCGGUCGGUUAGCGCCGCCGGCGGCGCGCCCCGCGGCGCCGGAAACUGGCGUCCGCUUCGCAGUCUUCUUCUUAGAGGGAUAAGCGGCAGCAAAAAAUAUACUAGCCGCACGAGAGUUUGAGCCAUAACAGGUCUGUGAUGCCCUUAGAUGUUCUGGGCCGCACGCGCGCUACAAUGGAGAGUUCAGCGAGCUGGCCCUGCUCCGAGAGGAGCGGGUAACCUCGUGAAAGCUGUCCUUAAAGGGGAUUGGGGCUUGCAAAUGUUCCCCAUGAACGAGGAAUUCCCAGUAGGCGCAAUUCACCAGAUUGCGCCGAUUUAGUCCCUGCCCUUUGUACACACCGCCCGUCGCUACUACCGAUUGAAUGGUCUAGUGAGGGCACCGGACUGGCGCCCUUGGAGCCGCUACCGCCUCGGCGGGCAGCGCCCUCGGGUCGACGGAAAGGUGUCCAAGCUGGGUCAUUUAGAGGAAGUAAAAGUCGUAACAAGGUUUCCGUAGGUGAACCUGCGGAAG